rfam:Enterobacter sp. 638, complete genome.
UUCUUCCGCCUGCUGCGGGCAGAUCCAGUGGAUGUGCGUGUCGAUCCCACCUGCGGUGACGAUCUUACCUUCGGCGGCGAUCACUUCGGUUGCGGCACCAAUCGGGAUCGUCACGCCGGGCUGAAUAUCCGGAUUACCGGCUUUACCCACGGCGAAGAUCCUGCCGUCUUUGACGCCGAUAUCCGCCUUCACGAUCCCCCAGUGAUCGACGAUCAGCGCGUUGGUCAACACCAGAUCCACACAGUCCUGCGCCGUCAUUUGCCCCUGGCCCAUGCCGUCGCGAA